rnacentral:tRNA from 1 species
GGAGACGUAUCGAAGUGGUCAUAACGAGCCGCACUCGAAAUGCGGUUGCCGGUUUCCGGCACGUGGGUUCGAAUCCCACCGUCUCCG